rnacentral:rRNA from 1 species
UACGUAGGUGACAAGCGUUGUCCGGAUUUACUGGGCGUAAAGAGCGCGCAGGCGGUCGUUCAAGUCGAGUAUGAAAGCCCCCGGCUCAACUGGGGAGGGUCAUUCGAUACUGAUCGACUCGAAGGCAGGAGAGGGUAGUGGAAUUCCCGGUGUAGUGGUGAAAUGCGUAGAUAUCGGGAGGAACACCAGUGGCGAAGGCGACUACCUGGCCUGUUCUUGACGCUGAGGCGCGAAAGCUAGGGGAGCAAACGGGG